rnacentral:rRNA from 1 species
UACAGAGGUCUCAAGCGUUGUUCGGAUUCAUUGGGCGUAAAGGGUGCGUAGGCGGCGCGGUAAGUCGGGUGUGAAAUCUCGGGGCUUAACUCCGAAACUGCAUUCGAUACUGCCGUGCUUGAGGACUGGAGAGGAGACUGGAAUUUACGGUGUAGCGGUGAAAUGCGUAGAUAUCGUAAGGAAGACCAGUGGCGAAGGCGGGUCUCUGGGCCGAUACUGACGCUGAGGCGCGAAAGCGUGGGGAGCAAACAGG